rnacentral:rRNA from 1 species
AGUGAACGCUGGCGGUAGGCCUAACACAUGCAAGUCGAACGGCAGCACAGUAAGAGUUUGCUCUUACGGGUGGCGAGUGGCGGACGGGUGAGGAAUACAUCGGAAUCUACUUUUUCGUGGGGGAUAACGUAGGGAAACUUACGCUAAUACCGCAUACGACCUACGGGUUAAAGCAGUGGAGCUUCGGACCUUGCGCGAUUGAAUGAGCCGAUGUCGGAUUAGCUAGUUGGCGGGGUAAAGGCCCACCAAGGCAACGAUCCGUAGCUGGUCUGAGAGGAUGAUCAGCCACACUGGAACUGAGACACGGUCCAGACUCCUACGGGAGGCAGCAGUGGGGAAUAUUGGACAAUGGGCGAAAGCCUGAUCCAGCCAUGCCGCGUGGGUGAAGAAGGCCUUCGGGUUGUAAAGCCCUUUUGUUGGGAAAGAAAAGCAGCAGGUUAAAACCCCGCUGUUCUGACGGUACCCAAAGAAUAAGCACCGGCUAACUUCGUG